AGCCAGUGAUGACAACCUAUCCUGGUUCUGCGAAUUUCUUAAGUAGUUUUUUAAUCUCUUCAGAGCUGAAAAUGAGCGUUCAUCUGCAGCACUUGUCGCUGGUAUUGUUAAUACUAGCUCACAUAAUUUGAAGAUUUGCGGGAAAACGCAUGAUAACUGAAGAGCAUACAUAUAUUGAUGAAAUGAGGUUCUAUACAUGGGAAAGUAUCUGGCAUCAAGAAGACUCAAGAAGAGGAGCGUAGCGUUCUCCGAAAAUCUAACAGAGACAUUCUGACACACGACAUCAAUAAUUUCACAGAACAGCCGUUUAUAGGAGUUUUUUCUUUCUUCUCCACUCAUUGAGUCAAUGCGAAUUCUUUUGGGUCGAGUUGGGCCAUUUGAAUCGAAGACAUUUUCCAUUUCACUCCAAAGGUGGUCAAAUCCUCCCCUUAAUCUUUGCAUGUGAUGCUUAAAUUCGUCUAUUUUGGUAUUGCAAAAAGCUAUAUCAGAUCUCUUAGUUUGUAGGAUUUUGAAAAGAGCGCCAGAAUAUGGAAAAAUUGAAGAAAAUAUUUUCAGCAUGAAAUUGAAAUCGAAAUCCCUUAGAAGAGAGAGAAGUCCGCGUGCAGAAGAAAUUGUUUCUACAUCCCAUUCUUCUGGUUCCUCUAUUAUAGACACAAGAAGAUUCUCAAUUCCUUCUCUGUAUUCAUGCACAGUUUCAGCAAGUCGGCUAUGGUACUGCCAUCGAGUAGGUGCGAUAGAAGGAAAUCUUUUCCUAAGGUGGGAAUCCAAUGCUUCAGUCCUUUUUGUGGACUUGGCAAAAAAAGUUCUAAAGCCAGAGAGAGUAGCAAAGAAGACCUUAACUUCCUUAAUAAAACUAGCAGAUUGUGCUAAGACUAAAUUUAGUCUAUGCGCAUAACAAUGAACAAAAAUGGCGUUUGGGUACUGCUCGCGAAUUUUUGCUUGUACUCCUGCAUGUUGUGAUGCCAUAACAGCAGCACCAUCAUAAGUCUGUGCAAUGAGUUUGGGACCACAUUCAAAAUCAUUUAAAAUCUCAAGAGCAUGGUUAAACAAGGAAUUGGCAGAACGGUCAGAGCUCACGUCUGUAAAACGCAGAAACCUUUCUUCAACAUUGCCAUCAGCUGUCACAUAUCGAAGAACUGAAGCCAACUGACACUUAUUCAUCACAUCUGAAGUCUCAUCAAGAAUUAAAGAAACAUAAUUAGCCUUUGAAAUUUCCUUUUUAAUUUCCAUUGUCAUCAAUUCAGAUACAGAAUGUAUCAGUUCAUUUUGGAUGUCAGGAGAAGAACCACGGAAAGCAGUUGAAGACUCUAAAUGAUUGUGUAAAUCAGAAUCAUAACGUGCCAGCAUAUUUAAAACCUCAAUGUAAUUUCCUCUAUUAACAGAUGCCACGCUUUCAUCAUGUCCCCGAAAUGCUAAACCCUGAGAGCCCAGAAAACAAACUGCUGUAAUUAAUUGGCCUACAAAUUUCCUGUUCUGUUUCACAGCUUCAUUGUGUUUUUCAAUUGACUGUUUGUAUUGGCUGCUUAGAGAAAAUUCAAUCCUUCUGUUUUUACCAAA